GACGAACGCUGGCGGCGUGCUUAACACAUGCAAGUCGAACGGAAAGGCCCUGCUUUCAGGGUACUCGAGUUGCGAACGGGUGAGUAACACGUGGGUGAUCUGCCCUGCACUUCGGGAUAAGCCUGGGAAACUGGGUCUAAUACCGGAUAGGAGCCAUUUUUAGUGUGAUGGUUGGAAAGUUUUUUCGGUGUAGGAUGAGCUCGCGGCCUAUCAGCUUGUUGGUGGGGUAAUGGCCUACCAAGGCGGCGACGGGUAGCCGGCCUGAGAGGGUGGACGGCCACAUUGGGACUGAGAUACGGCACAGACUCCUACGGGAGGCAGCAGUGGGGAAUAUUGAACAAUGGGCGCAAGCCUGAUGCAGCGACGCCGCGUGGGGGAUGACGGCCUUCGGGUUGUAAACUCCUUUCGCUAGGGACGAAGCUUUUUGUGACGGUACCUAGAUAAGAAGCACCGGCUAACUACGUG
rnacentral:rRNA from 1 species